rnacentral:lncRNA from 1 species
AAAUUAAGAACAAUAGCAUUAUCAUUCAAUAAAGGUAACAACAGAAGUAUGCUGAAAAUUAAAAGCCAAUGACAAUUACGGAAAAAAUGAAUAAUGAAUUUAAAGGACUAGACAAGAAAGAUAAAAGCAUGGAAAAAAAACAUUAGAAGGUGCUUCAAUUCAUCAUCAAAGUAAAACGAAGUUCAAGAUCAUGCAUCCUCAUCAUAUCAUUUCCCCUUACCCCAAAAAUUCCAAAGAUACACAAAUUCUUGACAGCCCCAUAGCCCCUACUUUAGUCUCGUUCCUUCAUGGGUUUAACUUUCAACAAUUGUUGUCACUCCCGG